UAGCUUAGUGGAUAAAGCGAUGGCUUUUGAAGCGAAAGGUACUGGGUUCGAGUCCCAG
rnacentral:tRNA from 1 species